rnacentral:rRNA from 1 species
CCUACGGGGGGCAGCAGUGGGGAAUAUUGGACAAUGGGCGCAAGCCUGAUCCAGCCAUGCCGCGUGAGUGAUGAAGGCCUUAGGGUUGUAAAGCUCUUUUGCCCGGGAAGAUAAUGACGGUACCGGGAGAAUAAGCCCCGGCUAACUUCGUGCCAGCAGCCGCGGUAAUACGAAGGGGGCUAGCGUUGCUCGGAAUCACUGGGCGUAAAGCGCACGUAGGCGGAUCGUUAAGUCAGGGGUGAAAUCCUGGAGCUCAACUCCAGAACUGCCCUUGAUACUGGCGACCUUGAGUUCGAGAGAGGUGAGUGGAACUGCGAGUGUAGAGGUGAAAUUCGUAGAUAUUCGCAAGAACACCAGUGGCGAAGGCGGCUCACUGGCUCGAUACUGACGCUGAGGUGCGAAAGCGUGGGGAGCAAACAGGAUUAGAUACCCUAGUAGUC